GAUGAAGAACGUAGUGAAAUGCGAUAAGUAAUGUGAAUUGCAGAAUUCAGUGAAUCAUCGAAUCUUUGAACGCACCUUGCACCCUUUGGUAUUCUGAAGGGUAUGCUCGUUUGAGUGUCAUUGUACUCUCACACUUCUAAUUCCUUUCGGGAUUGGGAGCGGUGGACUUGGGUGUUGCUGCUUUAGUUGUGGCUCACCUCAAAUAAGUUAGUGCAACUCUUGGUUGGACAUAGUACGGCGUGAUAAGUGUCUUCGCCGGCGCCUCUGUAAGGAGGGUGGCCGAUCGGGAGCUCUGUGCUUCAAACCGUAUUCGGACAAUCUUUGACAACUUGACCUCAAAUCGAGUAGGACUACCCGCUGAACUUAAGCAUAUCAAUAAGCGGAGGA
rnacentral:misc_RNA from 1 species